GUGGGGAAUAUUGCACAAUGGGCGCAAGCCUGAUGCAGCCAUGCCGCGUGUAUGAAGAAGGCCUUCGGGUUGUAAAGUACUUUCAGCGGGGAGGAAGGUGCUGAGGUUAAUAACCUCAGCAAUUGACGUUACCCGCAGAAGAAGCACCGGCUAACUCCGUGCCAGCAGCCGCGGUAAUACGGAGGGUGCAAGCGUUAAUCGGAAUUACUGGGCGUAAAGCGCACGCAGGCGGUCUGUCAAGUCGGAUGUGAAAUCCCCGGGCUCAACCUGGGAACUGCAUUCGAAACUGGCAGGCUAGAGUCUUGUAGAGGGGGGUAGAAUUCCAGGUGUAGCGGUGAAAUGCGUAGAGAUCUGGAGGAAUACUGGUGGCGAAGGCGGCCCCCUGGACAAAGACUGACGCUCAGGUGCGAAAGCGUGGGGAGCAA
rnacentral:rRNA from 1 species